AGAGCGAACGCUGGCGGCAGGCUUAACACAUGCAAGUAGAGCGGGCGUAGCAAUACGUCAGCGGCAGACGGGUGAGUAACGCGUGGGAACAUACCUUUUGGUUCGGAACAACACAGGGAAACUUGUGCUAAUACCGGAUAAGCCCUUACGGGGAAAGAUUUAUCGCCGAAAGAUUGGCCCGCGUCUGAUUAGCUAGUUGGUGAGGUAACGGCUCACCAAGGCGACGAUCAGUAGCUGGUCUGAGAGGAUGAUCAGCCACAUUGGGACUGAGACACGGCCCAAACUCCUACGGGAGGCAGCAGUGGGAAUAUUGGACAAUGGGCGCAAGCCUGAUCCAGCCAUGCCGCGUGAGUGAUGAAGGCCCUAGGGUUGUAAAGCUCUUUUGUGCGGGAAGAUAAUGACGGUACCGCAAGAAUAAGCCCCGGCUAACUUCGCGCCAGCAGCCGC
rnacentral:rRNA from 1 species